rnacentral:rRNA from 1 species
UACAGAGACCUCAAGCGUUAUCCGGAAUCAUUGGGCGUAAAGCGUACCGAUAGGUGGUUGAAAUAGUCUUGGGUAAAAGCCAGAAGCUCAACUUCUGAGUUUGCUUAAGAUACUUUUCGACUAGAGGGGCAAAGAGGUGCUUGGAACGAAUGGUGUAGUAGUGAAAUGCGUUGAUAUCAUUCGGAACACCGAAAGCGAAGGCAGAGCACUGGGUGCCACCUGACACUGCUAGGACGAAAGCGUGGGUAGCGAAUGGG